CAGUCACGGCGUAGUGAAGCGGCAACAGCUCAAAUUUGAAAUCUGGCCUCGGCCCGAGUCUGUAAUUUGCAGAGGAAGCUUUAGGUGCGGCCCCAACUGAGUCCCCUGGAACGGGGCGCCACAGAGGGUGAGAGCCCCGUAUAGUUGGACGCCUAGCCUGUGUAAAGCUCCUUCGACGAGUCGAGUAGUUUGGGAAUGCUGCUCAAAAUGGGAGGUAAAUUUCUUCUAAAGCUAAAUACCGGCCAGAGACCGAUAGCGCACAAGUAGAGUGAUCGAAAGAUGAAAAGCACUUUGAAAAGAGGGUUAAAUAGCACGUGAAAUUGUUGAAAGGGAAGCGCUUGUGACCAGACUUGCGCCGGGCUGAUCAUCCGGUGUUCUCACCGGUGCACUCUGCCCGGCUCAGGCCAGCAUCGGUUCUCGCGGGGGGACAAAGGCUCCGGGAACGUAGCUCCUCCGGRAKUGUUAUAGCCCGGGGCGCAAUGCCCCCGCGGGGACCGAGGACCGCGCUCU
rnacentral:rRNA from 1 species